rnacentral:rRNA from 1 species
AUUGAACGCUGGCGGCAGGCCUAACACAUGCAAGUCGAGCGGAUGAGUGGAGCUUGCUCCAUGAUUCAGCGGCGGACGGGUGAGUAAUGCCUAGGAAUCUGCCUGGUAGUGGGGGACAACGUUUCGAAAGGAACGCUAAUACCGCAUACGUCCUACGGGAGAAAGCAGGGGACCUUCGGGCCUUGCGCUAUCAGAUGAGCCUAGGUCGGAUUAGCUAGUAGGUGAGGUAAUGGCUCACCUAGGCGACGAUCCGUAACUGGUCUGAGAGGAUGAUCAGUCACACUGGAACUGAGACACGGUCCAGACUCCUACGGGAGGCAGCAGUGGGGAAUAUUGGACAAUGGGCGCAAGCCUGAUCCAGCAAUGCCGCGUGCAGGAUGAAGGCCUUCGGUUGUAAUGCUUUGUACGGUAACGAAACGGUAGAGCUCUAAUACAGUUUGC